rnacentral:lncRNA from 1 species
UGCGAAGAGAACAAAUGGGAUUUUUGCCCCUGUUAUAUUUAGAAUUAUGCGUAAAGUGAUAUUACUCAUGAACCAUACAUAAUACAGACCUAGGGUCUUUUAAUUUGGGAUCCUUGGUUCAUGACCUUGAAAUUGGGGUCAAGGUCAUAGGUUAAUUGGACGUUCUAGAUUUUGACCUUUGCUUGAAAUUCAUAUUUAUAUAUCAUUUAGCCAUAGGAACUGACAUUUUCAACUGAAUUUUAAUAUUUUCAUAUCAAAAUAGAUCCUUAUUGGUGGAAAGACCUUCAAUUGUUCUUUGAACAAUUGGUUUUUAA